GACGAACGCUGGCGGCGUGCUUAACACAUGCAAGUCGAACGGAAAGGCCCUGCUUUUGUGGGGUGCUCGAGUGGCGAACGGGUGAGUAACACGUGAGUAACCUGCCCUUGACUUUGGGAUAACUUCAGGAAACUGGGGCUAAUACCGGAUAGGAGCUCCUGCUGCAUGGUGGGGGUUGGAAAGUUUCGGCGGUUGGGGAUGGACUCGCGGCUUAUCAGCUUGUUGGUGGGGUAGUGGCUGACCAAGGCUUUGACGGGUAGCCGGCCUGAGAGGGUGACCGGCCACAUGGGGACUGAGGUACGGCCCAGACUCCUACGGGAGGCAGCAGUGGGGAAUAUUGCACAAUGGGCGGAAGCCUGAUGCAGCAACGCCGCGUGCGGGAUGACGGCCUUCGGGUUGUAAACCGCUUUCGCCUGUGACGAAGCGUGAGUGACGGUAAUGGGUAAAGAAGCACCGGCUAACUACGUG
rnacentral:rRNA from 1 species